rnacentral:rRNA from 1 species
UACGGAGGGUGCAAGCAUUGAUCGGAAUUACUGGGCGUAAAGGGCGCGUAGGCGGCAGGUAAAGUCGGAUGUGAAAUUCCGGGGCUCAACCCCGGAGCUGCAUUUGAAACUUACCCGCUAGAGUACAGUUAGGGAAAACGGAAUUCCACGUGUAGCGGUGAAAUGCGUAGAUAUGUGGAAGAACACCGGUGGUGAAGACGGUUUUCUGGGCUGAAACUGACGCUGAGGCGCGAAAGCUAGGGGAGCAAACAGG